rnacentral:tRNA from 1 species
UAGGGUGUAGCUCAGUGGUAGAGCACUCGCCUAGCAUGUGCAAGGUGCUGGGCUCAAUCCCCAGCACUGCAA